rnacentral:rRNA from 1 species
AACGAACGCUGGCGGCAUGCCUAACACAUGCAAGUCGAACGAGACCCUCGGGUCUAGUGGCGCACGGGUGCGUAACGCGUGGGAACCUGCCCUUAGGUUCGGAAUAACUCCCCGAAAGGGGUGCUAAUACCGGAUAAUGUCUUCGGACCAAAGAUUUAUCGCCUUUGGAUGGGCCCGCGUUGGAUUAGCUAGUUGGUAGGGUAAAAGCCUACCAAGGCGACGAUCCAUAGCUGGUCUGAGAGGAUGAUCAGCCACACUGGGACUGAGACACGGCCCAGACUCCUACGGGAGGCAGCAGUGGGGAAUAUUGGACAAUGGGCGAAAGCCUGAUCCAGCAAUGCCGCGUGAGUGAUGAAGGCCUUAGGGUCGUAAAGCUCUUUUACCCGGGAUGAUAAUGACAGUACCGGGAGAAUAAGCUCCGGCUAACUCCGUG